rnacentral:rRNA from 1 species
UCGGAACAACUGAGGGAAACUUCAGCUAAUACCGGAUAAGCCCUUACGGGGAAAGAUUUAUCGCCGAAAGAUUGGCCCGCGUCUGAUUAGCUAGUUGGUGAGGUAAUGGCUCACCAAGGCGACGAUCAGUAGCUGGUCUGAGAGGAUGAUCAGCCACAUUGGGACUGAGACACGGCCCAAACUCCUACGGGAGGCAGCAGUGGGGAAUAUUGGACAAUGGGCGAAAGCCUGAUCCAGCCAUGCCGCGUGAGUGAUGAAGGCCCUAGGGUUGUAAAGCUCUUUUGUGCGGGAAGAUAAUGACGGUACCGCAAGAAUAAGCCCCGGCUAACUUCGUGCCAGCAGCCGCGGUAAUACGAAGGGGGCUAGCGUUGCUCGGAAUCACUGGGCGUAAAGGGUGCGUAGGCGGGUUUUUAAGUCAGAGGUGAAAUCCUGGAGCUCAACUCCAGAACUGCCUUUGAUACUGGAAGUCUUGAGUAUGGCAGAGGUGAGUGGAACUGCGAGUGUAGAGGUGAAAUUCGUAGAUAUUCGCAAGAACACCAGUGGCGAAGGCGGCUCACUGGGCCAUUACUGACGCUGAGGCACGAAAAGCGUGGGGAGCAAACAGGAUUAGAUACCCCUGGUAGUCCCACGCCGUAAACGAUGAAUGCCAGCCGUUUAGUGGGUUUACUCACUAGUGGCGCAGCUAACGCUUUAAGCAUUCCGCCCUGGGGAGUACGGUCGCAAGAUUAAAACUCAAAGGAAUUGACGGGGGCCCGCACAAGCGGUGGAGCAUGUGGUUUAAUUCGACGCAACGCGCAGAACCUUACCAGCCCUUGACAUGUCCAGGACCGGUCGCAGAGAUGUGACCUUCUCUUCGGAGCCU